GGCCUGGGAUUCAGUCAGCUCCCCACAUCUGCUAAACCAUGGCAGAAAGCUGCAUAUAGUAGCAUCCCCUGCUACCUUGCAGCUCACCUUUUACGUGUACAUUUUACGCCUAAAAUGUAUGGCUUGACUUUUACCCUGUCCAUGGAAACUUUUCUGUUCAGCCUGUUUCACACAAACUAAUUGUGCACCUUUGGGCCAAAGCUUGUAACUAUGUGCAAGGAACAGAUUCCAGCUUCAAGAAUGCAAAUGCUGCAGAGAUGAGUGCCUGGGCUGAAUGUGUGUCCUUGCAUCACUGAGAUAUACUGUACCCAGCACAGAAGAGUGAGCUGGAGAUAGAAGCCAUCAAAAAGUCUGUUGGACACUUGUCCUUGUAUAAGGAUUUAGUCCACAUAUUUGUUAUGUAACACACAGUGCGUGUCACUUUUUUUCUUUUUACAAUAAGAAAACAUUUGUCUAUCUGCUUUAUAUUUUAGUGGGUACAAUGUACAGGUGGAUUUCUCUCUCACAAAUGAAAGGUCAGAAAGAAGUAAGGUGGAGGGGAAAGGAGGCAUGGACAGAGUUGAGUGAGCUUUACUCUUCCUUUGCUUGCAGUCUGUUGCUGAGGUUUUAACAUCUGUGUUGUCUUGUGUUUCAGAGCCUGCCUUCAGAUGAAAGAAGCCAGAAAGCUCUUGACCAAAGGCUGGAGGUACAAUGCGUGUUGUUCAUGCUCUGUGUGUCAACUUGGAGCAGAAAGUGAAAGCUACCCUUCACCAGCGAAAGCUAGCAGCAGAGGCAUAAUGCCCAUGGGUCCCUACUCCGUUCUAAUCAGCCCUAACAUUAAGUGAUGUCCUCAAUGUUUGUGAACCUCUUCCAUUUGCUUUCAUUCUCCAUACGAAAACGGCAAGGCUUCUUUCAAAAGUCAUACAGCGCCCAGCGGAGUCCAACCUCCUAAUGAAAGGGACAGGAAUCCACCAGACACCCCGUGUGCACAGUGCCCAACUAAUCGGUGGCAGCAGGUACCUCUCAAGGGCAGGGCAGUCUGAGCAACUGGUGUGCCUGCUCCCCAGGCACCCCUUGGGAACAGGUAUGCAGCCCUGGGGCCCCUGGAGGAGGAGGCAGAAGAACUGGUCCCCAGAGGAAUUGAAGCCGGUUGACCUACAUCACCAGCUCAGAAGAGUCACAGCCCAAGAAGGAGAUGCAAAGUUCUGGUCAUCGCGGACUCCAUCCUGAGGGGAACCGAUGGUGCAAACUGUCACCCAGAGCCCUGGUCACGGCAGGUCUGCUGCAUGCCUGGAGCGAGGAUUCGCAAUGUCGCAGAGACCAUUCCUAAAAUCAUCAAGCCCUCUGACUACUACCCACUGGUUGUGGUCCAUGUGGGUACAAAUGAUGCAUCCAAGGGCAAGCUGGAUAACAUCAUGGAGGGGACUACAAGGCCUUGGGACACCAGCUGAAGAGGAUGGGAGCUCAGGUGGUAUUUUCCUUCAUUCUUCUGGUUUGCUGAUCUCAUGUGGCGGGCUUUAAACUAGCUUCACUGGGGGAAGGGGCUGCUUUGAGUGAAGAGGAUACUUCACCAGCACGCAGGGUGACGAGAGGAAGGGAAGAACAGGUUUAAGGGACAUCUGUUUCUAUGUUUGCUAGUAGUAAUAAAAGAAAGGAGAAUGAAUGAAUGGUGAGAUAGGGAUCCAUGCAUUCAGUCCACUCGGAUCUGAACCUGAUACCUUCCACAUCCAGACCGGGGUCAAACAAAGUUGUGUGAUCGUCCCCACCUUGUUUACCAUCUACCUGACCGUCAUCAUCCACCUCAUCCAAGAUGAUCUACCAUCUGGCGUCCGUAUUCAGUAUCGACUGGAUGGGAAGCUUUUUCAUCUUGGGCACUUCUGGGCAUAAAUGAAGCUCACCACCAAGGACACCCACAACCUUAAGUUUGCUUCUGAUUGCUGCUUGAUGGCUGACUCUGCACAGGAUAUGCAAGCGACCCUAGAGCUCUUCAACACUUUGUACAAGAGACUUGGCCUGUCCCUGAAUGCUGCCAAGAUGAAGCUUCUCCAAAAACUCUUCCUAGGCCUGCUGGAGAACUGAACAUCCCUUGCACUAUCUAUAUAGACGAGGAGGCUCCGCAGUACGUGGAGCACCUUCCAUAUCUCAGCAGCCACCUCCCUCAAUGGGCUAACAGCAAUAAAGAAGUCCAGCACCAGGUCAGCUGCUCCAGUGGUGCUGCCUUCAAGCUGUGACAAUGUGCCUUCAAAAAUAGGGACCUUGGGAAGUCGAUGAAGGUCCUGGUUUAUAAGGCUGUUGUGCUGACCACCCUCCACUACUGCAGUGAAACCUGGACCAUCUACCCAUACCUCAUUAAGGCCCUCGAGAGUUUUGACCGGUGGUGCUUGCAUCGAAUCCUGGGGACCAAAUAGGAGGACUGCCAGACCAGCAUGUGCGUCCUUCAUGAAGCUGCAUCAACCAGCAUCAAAGCCUUGCUCUUGAGAAAUCAACUCCAAUGAAUAGGCCACUGAGUCUGGAUGUCCAAGAACCACCUCUUUCUCACCAGAUUCUCUUCUCCCAGCUCUCCAUUGGCCAAUGCUCAAAGGGAUGCCAAAGGAAACAGUACAAAGACAAACUCAAGGUUACGCGCAAGCACCGGGGCAUAGACACCAAUGGCUGGGAGGAGCAAGCUGCUGACCAUUCAGCAUGGCACCACCUGGUCCACCAAGGUGUCUGCCACUUUGAGGCACAAUGACAUGAUAGUGAGGUGGAACGGUGGUGGUGGAGGAAGCAGAAGAGGCCAACUCAGUACUCCGAAUCCCACUCCCCCGUGCAACAACAUGCCCCCUUUGUCAAAGAACGUGUGCAUCUAGAAUCAGGCUCCUCAGUCACCUGAGGACCCAUCAAGCCUGAUGGAUGUCAUCCUCAACCUCGAGGGACCACCAAUGCAUGCAUUCAGUGCAGGUUUCCAGAGAGCUCAGCUCCCAUUUAUGUAUCAGAAAAGGGGAACAAUUUUUGGAAGAGCUCAGAUCUUUGGGUUCUGAGCACUGCUAGAAAAUCUGAGCAAGAGCUGAUCUGGCAAGGGGCAUGUGGGAUAAUUUUGUGUCAACAAAGGAAGAAUUUUGUGUGUGAAAGCAUCUAAUCAUUGAUCUUGUGUUGUUCUCUAUUGUUUUUCCUCCUUACGUCUCCAUUUUCAUAUAAUGUCAACCAUAAUGAUAGUCCCUAGGGAGAGGGUACUUUUCCUUUCUUGCAAUGGUGAGAGCAGCACUGCCAGGGACUGGAUGAGAGUUUUUAUUGCUCAGCACUAAUUGCUGCUCACAGGCAGUCUAGGAAAAAUGUCUUUUCUGCCUGUUCAUCAGAAAGAAGUUUGGAGCCAGUGCUUGCAAGUGUCUUCAGUCAUUUUUAAGUAAACUUGCAAAGACAUGUUUUCCCCACAUGUACUUGACAGAGUGGAGUUUUUAAAGUGACCUUUUUUUUUUUUUUUUUAAUGCUUAACCACUGGGAAUGAAUACAAGGGUAAUUAACACUGCGAGCAUCUCUUUGCCCAGAAGAAUUACAGGCAUGGAAAUUGGGGUAAAACUGCACUUCAUAAAUUUAGUGGAUACAAAACAUCCUGGACUACAUAUAGGGUAUAAUGUGCCAUAAAUCCAAUGUCUGUUUGCUAUCUGGUUAACCUCAGGUAACCUCUGUACAUUUUACCAGCUAUUUUCUUAUCACCAGGUCAACACUCCUUUCCCCGCCAUGUACCUGUCUCACACCUGUUGUCUCCCAUAUCCUCUGUCCCUCACUGCAUUGUAUUUGCAUUUUCACAGACCUGGAUUUUGCAUAUUGGCCUCCUCUUCCAUUCCAGCAAAUCACUUUGGAACCAAGAGUUCUAGUUUGUUGCAUGUCUUCUAUUCCAUGCAGCUACUUCAGAGUCUAUGCCCUGCAAGACAUCAUAGUGAUAUCAUGACUGAAACCCCCCAGACUUUCAACUGGAAGUUGACAUUGAUAGCAAUGGAUUUACAGAUCAAAUUAAUAUUCUGAAACAUAAUUAACUCUAAUUGAAGUGAUCUAUAAUUCAGUUCAACCUGAGUGGAGCAUCCAUAAUAGUCUUUUCUUUUAACCUUCCAAUUUCCCUUUCCUUACAAAUUAUGUUAGUACUAGUGGAAUUUGAGGUAGGGGGAGGAGGAGGAAUAGCAGGGAAACAGCUUGUUCCACUUGUAUGGUAUAUUGAAUGUGUGACCUUUUUAACUUUUAUUUACAAUGAAGCCUAACGGCUAACCCCACACUGAAGCACCCUUAUGCCCCAGGCAACCCGGCCACAGCAUGUUGAGCUGAGGGGAGCAGCCCUGGGCCUACAGGCUGACCCCAGGGCCCCCCACCAUCCACGGCUCCUCCAAUCUGGCUCAACAUGCUGCAGUCCUGGGCAAACAUUCAAACAGCAUGUCUGGAAGCACUAAACUCUGAAGCAAUAAACUCCAGGGUUUAUCGCUUCACAUUAAUGUAGAUACACCCAACCGGUAGGUCUUUUCAUGCAGCUAGUUACUACUCUACAGAAGGGAAGGUGGCAGAAGGAGGGUUAACAUUUCUCUGUGAGCUAUUUGGUGAAUUCAAAAUCCUUGCUGCUUUUCUGCUCUAGGAAAUAAGGAAACUUCUUAGUCCCCCGUGGGCACACAGGUGCUUCAAGUGGCAGCACUAGGUUGGAAAGGACUUGGACUCCAACCUGCCAGUAGCAUAACUGAACUGCAAUGGAGAGGGGAAGCCUGGCAAGGGUUAUUUCUCCUGGCACAGCUUACCUUCCUCCUUGGAGACAGCAGGGGCUGUAUUGAGAUAGCACUAGUUGUCAUUGUCAGGACAAAACCAGCUAAUUAUCAUAUUUACUACGGUGGUCCCUAAAGCCCCAGACUGUAAUGAGGACCUUAUUGUGCUAGGCAGCUGUACAUACAUAGUUUGAUACAGUCCCUGCCUUGAAGAAUUUACCUUCUAGAUGGGCAAUAAGGAAAAUAAUGUUUAUAGCCUCCCCAUAUUUAAUGUAUAGGAAACUGGAGCUCAGAUUGCUCAUGGGCACCUAUAGAAUCUCAUCUUAUUUUCUACAGUGAUCCAGGCCCAUAGCCUUUAAGUCUCUGGCUUUCACUGACACUUGAGCUUUCUAAGUGCCAACCUCAUUUGUGAUAGUACUUAGACUUCUGAAUCAGCACAUAGUUCCAGAAAGAAAUUAAUGAUGAGACUUGCCCAAGGUCACAUGUCAAAUCUGUGGCCGACCUAGGAGUAGAAGAUGUUACUUCUGAGCCUCUGCACGUUGCUUCAACACAAGGUCCAGCCUCUUUCCGCACCUUGGUAUACUUGCUUUUUCAAGAGUGCCUGUCAUUGUGGUUUCCAGUUUAUCUGCUGGUCUCCCAUCUCAAUAUCUCCCCUCCUCCCCCCUCAAAUAAAGCAUUUCAAGCAAGGCGGUGAAUUCCCUGUCCCUUCCAGUGAGUGAGCAAGCUCCUCAAUCUCACAUGGUAAGUGUGUGUAUUACAGCAAGCACUAAAGCAAAUCCUGUGAUCAACAGCUUCCAUUUGUUGCUUCACACUGUUACUUUAAUUUCACCUCAAACUUACAUGUCAAACUUUGUUAGCUUUACUUGCAUUGCCAUAGCAGAUGGAUGGCAGCCUUGGAAGGAUCUGUUUCUGCUUUUGUUUCUCAUUUAACAUAUAACUAUGUACAACAAGAAACAGAACCCACAACUGAACUAGGUUAUAGUUAAAGGGUUCAUAGUGGUGUGACUAAAUGAAUGGAAAAUCCA